rnacentral:rRNA from 1 species
GACGAACGCUGGCGGCGUGCUUAACACAUGCAAGUCGAGCGGUAAGGCCCUUUCGGGGGUACACGAGCGGCGAACGGGUGAGUAACACGUGGGUGACCUGCCUCUAGCUCUGGGAUAAGCCCGGGAAACUGGGUCUAAUACUGGAUAUGACUCCAUGACGCAUGUUGUGGGGUGGAAAGCCUUGUGCGGCUAGAGAUGGGCCCGCGGCCUAUCAG